UGGUUGAUCCUGCCAGUAGUCAUAUGCUUGUCUCAAAGAUUAAGCCAUGCAUGUCUAAGUACACACUUUGGUAAAGUGAAACCGCGAAUGGCUCAUUAAAUCAGCUACAAUUUAUUAGAUCGUACACUGUUACUUGGAUAACUGUGGGAAUUCUAGAGCUAAUACAUGCCGAGAGUCUCUGCUCUUCGGGGCAGAGCGCAGUUAUUAGACCAAAACCAGCCGUAUUCUUCGGGGUACGCUCUUUUGGUGACUCUGGAUAACCUUCAGCCGAUCGCAUGGCCUCGUGCCGGCGACGUAUCUUUCAAGUGUCUGCCCUAUCAACUUUCGAUGGUACGUGAUAUGCCUACCAUGGUGAUAACGGGUAACGGGGAAUCAGGGUUCGAUUCCGGAGAGGGCGCCUGAGAAAUGGCUACCACAUCCAAGGAUGGCAGCAGGCGCGCAAAUUACCCACUCCCAGCUUGGGGAGGUAGAGACGAAAAAUAACAAUGCGGGACUCUAAGAGGCCCCGUAAUUGGAAUGAGUACACCUUAAAUCGUUUAACGAGUAUCAAUUGGAGGGCAAGUCUGGUGCCAGCAGCCGCGGUAAUUCCAGCUCCAAUAGCGUAUAUUAAAGUUGCUGCAGUUAAAAAGCUCGUAGUUGGAUCUGGGGCUUGAGGUCGCUGUCUAUCGUUUCGGCGAUGACGGUGAUGCUCAGCUCUGCUUGCCGGUGACUGUUGCGGUGUUCUUCACUGAGCGCUGUAGCAGCACGGCACGUUUACUUUGAAAAAAUUAGAGUGCUCGAAGCGUGCUUGUCGCUUGAAUAAUGUUGCAUGGAAUAAUGGAAUAGGACCUCGGUUCUAUUUUGUUGGUUUUCGGAGCUUGAGGUAAUGAUUAAGAGGGACGAACGGGGGCAUUCGUAUUGCGGUGUUAGAGGUGAAAUUCUUGGAUCGCCGCAAGACGGACUACUGCGAAAGCAUUUGCCAAGAACGCUUUCAUUAAUUAAGAAAAGUCAGAGGUUCGAAGACGUUCAGACACCGUCCUAGUUCUGACCAUAAACGAUGCCGACCAGCGAUCCGUAGUGGUUGCUUUAUGGACCCUACGGGCAGCCUCCGGGAAACCAAAGUAUUUGGGUUCCGGGGGAAGUAUGGUUGCAAAGCUGAAACUUAAAGGAAUUGACGGAAGGGCACACCAGGAGUGGAGCCUGCGGCUUAAUUUGACCCAACACGGGAAAACUCACCCGGUCCGGACACCGUAAGGAUUGACAGACUGAUAGCUCUUUCUUGAUUCGGUGGAUGGUGGUGCAUGGCCGUUCUUAGUUGGUGGAGUGAUUUGUCUGGUUAAUUCCGAUAACGAACGAGACUCUAGCCUGCUAAGUAGUG
rnacentral:rRNA from 1 species